AUGUUGGAUCAGCUUUCUCUGAUAGUCAUAUAUGCAGUGCAAGUUCUGUACAUUUGUUGGGUCCAACCAAGAUGUUCUUUGAGACACCACCAGUGUCAUGGUGACAGGAGUAGUCUGUCUUUGAAAAAACCAAAGCGAGGAGAGGUCAAUUAUGUUCCCGAUCAUCUAGAAAACAACGAUGAUGAUACAUUAGAAGGUGAAAGAUCUGCCAUGGUAAAUGAGAUGAAAAAGAGAAGCAAAGACAUGACCUGGGCGGCUGUGGCUCAGAGGCAGAGUGGGUCGUUCCUAAAUUGGAAGGCUGUGGGUUCGAUCCCCAGCUCCUGGUGCCACAUGUCGAAGUAUCCUUGAGCAAGAUACUGAACCCCAAAUUGCUCCUGAUGCCGUGCAUUGGUGUGUGAAUGUGUAUGAAUGUUAGUUUCUGUUCGAUGGACUUUGCCAUCACUGAGUGAAUGUGUGUGAAAGGGUGAAUGUGGCAUGUAGUGUAAAAGUGCUUUGAGUGGUCGGAAGGCUAGAAAGGUGCUAUACAAGUACAGGUCCAUUUACCAUUUACCUUCAUCAGACAGAAGAUGGACCUCAUAUUCUCCCUGAGGAGGAAGGAGAUUGUGGAUCAACAACCUAUGGUGUCAGAGAUCCAGGAGAGAUGGCCUGCUCUGUUUUCUGAAGAACAGGUAAUAAAAUCUGUGUGAUUUCAUUUCACAUUAAUAUUUUUAGCUCUCCUGUUAGCACUGAGUUUCUUGUUAACUAAAGUAGAAUAACGCUCUUACAAGGAUAGGUCACAUUUUUUUGAAAGGUGGUGCUGUGUGUCCCAAAGCAGUAUAUUCCAAAGUUGGUGGUAAUACAUUGACUGUGGAUAAAUGCUCAACACAACCUCAUUUUCAAAAUGUGUUCUAUCCCUUGGUAUUGUAUGAGGUACUUCAUCCAUCGUUAGUCUAUUUCCUACAGUCAAUUGCUUUGACACACAUCUAAAAGCAGCAGGAGCACUGGUAUAUCAAGCUAAGCAAUGUAUGUCUGUGGACAGGCCUAUCUAAAAAAUAAUCAGUUUAGGUGUAUGCUUGCAUUUUCACUGC
rnacentral:lncRNA from 1 species